CGCCAAUGCCAGGGUCAGGCCUCUCAGCAAGUUGUUAUUGUUAUCUAGCAUAUCAGUUUCCGCUUGUUGAGAGGAUGCCUUUUGCGGCGCAUUUGAUGCGCUGUGAUCGGUUCUACUUUGAGUAGCUCAUUGCAAAUCUUAUUAACCAGUUGCCAGUUUAACUAUGUUGAAUGGCGAUUUCGGUUAAUGUUUAUUAAAUUUUAAACUAUUAGCGGUGGAUGUCUUGGCUCACACAACGAUGAAGGACGCAGCGAAUUGCGAUAUGCAUUGUGACUUGCAGACUUCUGCGAAUCAACAGAUUUCUGAACGUAUUAGACACACCACCUCUGCUUGCACGUGGUACUCCCAUUUCAGUGAACCUCAAAUUCUAACCAAAAACUGCUCUGCAACACGUUGCCGUCGAGUGUAUUGCACUGGACGUUGUGGUUUUGGUUGCGAGUAACGGCCUCUGAAGGUCGUUAUUCAUAGUUGAACCUGUGUCUGUGUGCACGGCCACCUUUUAUGGUGGUGUGGAACUUUAUGUUGUAACUUGUUACUCUCGUUCUACUUUGUGUUACGCUUUCACUGGUUCGACAUCCCGUGGGUUAUGUCUAUCAUAGCCGUUGCCGUGCCACUUAGUGCUGAGACUCAGCUGUGGAUGGCCGGUGGGUACAACAUGGAGUUCCUGAGAUUGGGUGAGACUAUCCACUGAAUUUAAACAUAUAAU
rnacentral:rRNA from 1 species